rnacentral:misc_RNA from 1 species
GGGAUUUGCAGCAUUCCUUUUCUUCUGUGGUUUAUAUGAUGUCCUUUAUGGUAAACGUCAGUACUUCGUCUACGUGUUUCUCCAAGUCAUAACGUUUACCAUUGCUGGAUUCGGCUACAUUGGAACGAUAGUCCCCUCUUAGCAGAGGACCAGCACCAGCACCAGCACCAGAAAACAACAACAUUGUUUAUUUCGUCGUCUACACAGAUAUAUAAGUUAUAUGCAGAACAUUGAACCAGAAAAAAAAAAUAGUAGAUGGAUUAGCAAAUAGAUAGUUUUUCAUAUUUUUCUCUCUUGUUAGAGUGCUGUUUUUAGCUGUGUGAAAUUAUAUUUUGAUUGAACUUGUAAGUUAUUUUUUUUUGGUAUUUUUGCAUCUCUUCAGAUUUCUAGAAAAAUGGCAAACAAUGGCCAAAUUCUGUAAUCAGUUUUUUUUCUUUUUCUUUUUUGGCAUUCUUUUACUUUGAUCAUGGAUGUAUUAUUAUCAAGACUCUUUC